rnacentral:rRNA from 1 species
UUAAGAUACUAAGAGCAUACGGUGGAUGCCUUGGCGAUAUCUGCCGACGAAGGACGUGACAAGCUGCGAAAAGCUGCGGAGAGAUGCAAAUAAUCGGCGACCCGCAGACAUCCGAAUGGAGCAAUCCGGCUGUGAUGAUGCACAGCCAUCCAUGCCCAAGAGCAUGAGAAGGGAACCGGGCGAACUGAAACAUCUAAGUAGCCCGAGGAAAAGAAAUCAAACGAGAUACCCCAAGUAGCGGCGAGCGAACAGGGAAGAAGCCCAAACCGGUGAAGGAAACUUUACCGGGGUUGAGGACCAUCAGACCCGCGAAGAACCUUAGCCGAAACUGUUGGGAAACAGUGCCAAAGACAGUGAAAGCCUGGUAGGCGAAAAAGAGAAACGCGGAGAUGGCACCGGAGUACCGCGGGACACGAGAAAUCCCGUGGGAAGCAGGGGGGACCACCCUCCAAGGCAAAACACAGAUAUCGACCGAUAGCGCAUAGUACCAUGAGGGAAAGGUGAAAAGCACCCCGGGAGGGGAAUGAAAGAGAACCUGAAACCGUAUGUUUACAAGCAGUCGGAGACCGCUUAAUAAUAAGGUCGACGGCGUGCCUAUUGAAGAAUGAACCGGCGAGUUACGAAGCCUGGCAAGGUUAAGCAGGAAAUGCGGAGCCGAAGCGAAAGCGAGUCUUAAGAGGGCGCAAGUCAGGAAGCGUAGACCCGAAACCACAGUGAUCUACCCAUGUCCAGGUUGAAACACAGGUAAAAAUGUGUGGAGGACCGAACCUAUAUCCGUUGAAAAGGGUUAGGAUGAGGUGUGGGUAGGGGUGAAAUUCCAAUCGAACGUGGAGAUAGCUGGUUCUCCCCGAAAUAGCUUUAGGGCUAGCCUCAGGGAAAAGAUUGCAGGCGGUAGAGCACUGAUCAGGAGAGGGACCUACCCGGUUACCAAACCCAGUCAAACUCCGAAUGGCUGCAAUCAUACCUGGGAGUCAGACUGCGACUAAUAAGGGCCGCAGUCAAAAGGGAAACAGCCCAGACCAUCAGCUAAGGUCCCCAAUGCCGUGCUAAGUGGCGAAGGAUGUGGCAUUUCAUAAACAACCAGGAUGUUGGCUCAGAAGCAGCCACCAUUUAAAGAGUGCGUAAUAGCUCACUGGUCGAGAGACGCUGCGCCGAAAAUGUCCGGGGCUCAAGCACGGAACCGAAGCUAUGGCAUGAUAGCAAUAUCAUGGGUAGGGGAGCGUUCUUAUAAGGAAGAAGCAUGACCGGAAGGACAUGUGGACGAAUAAGAAGUGAGAAUGCCGGUAUGAGUAUCGAAAAGAAAGGUGAGAAUCCUUUCCACCGAAAGCCCGAGGGUUCCUGAGCAACGAUCGUCGACUCAGGGUAAGUCGGGACCUAAGCCGAGGCGAGAAGCGUAGGCGAUGGACAACAGGUUGAAAUUCCUGUACCGGAUCAAGUCGAUCGAGCGAAGGAGCGACGCAGGAGGGCACAUGAUCGCGCGGCUGGAAGAGCGCGUCCAAGUGCGUAUGUUGCAGCAGAGGAAAACCCCUGCAGCUAAAAGCAGAGACAUGAUGGGGAGUUAAAGGAAACUUUGACGAACUCAUGGAUCCCACACUGCCAAGAAAAACUUCUAGCGAGACAAGAUCCGCCCGUACCGUAAACCGACACAGGUAGGCGGGGAGAGAAUCCUAAGGUGCGCGGGAAAACCCUCGUUAAGGAACUCGGCAAAUUGCAUCCGUAACCUAGGGAGAAGGAUGGCCCCCGGUCAGUGAAGAGCAGAAACGCUCAGAGCUAAAAGGGGCGGCAGAAAAGAGGCCCAAGCAACUGUUUACCAAAAACACAGGUGCCUGCGAAAGCGAAAGCUGAAGUAUAGGUGCUGACGCCUGCCCGGUGCCGGAAGGUUAAGGAGAGAAGUUAGCGAAAGCGAAGCAUCGAACUGAAGCCCCGGUGAACGGCGGCCGUAACUAUAACGGUCCUAAGGUAGCGAAAUUCCUUGUCGGGUAAGUUCCGACCCGCACGAAAGG